AUGAUUGAUACAAACUUCAGAAUCAUGUCCUGGAAUGUGCGGGGCCUAAACUCCCCUGCAAAGCGCUCGGCCGUCUGCGAGGUAGCACACGCGAACAGGAUUUCAAUCCUAAACUUGCAGGAAACUAAGAUCGAAUCAUGGUCCACAUAGUUAGCAGUAGAAGUAGGGGGUCCUUCGCUUCAGGGCUGUGUUGUUUUGCCAGCAACAGGAACUCGAGGCGGGGCAGCAAUGUUUUGGGAUAAACAAGUAGUCGACAUAGUCUCACACAUGAUCGCUAGCUUCUCCAUCACAGUUAGGGUUCAAAUCGUUGGCAGCAUCGAGUUCUUUUGGAUGACAACCGUAUACGGGUCGACAGAGGAUGAUCAGAAAGAGAACUUCCUUUCUGAACUUGCAAGCGCGGCCCCUCCCCCAUCUGAUCCGUGGAUGCUUAAUGGUGACUUCAACAUGAUCUAUCAAGCCAGGGACAAAAGCAACGGCCUGACCAACAGAAGGAUGAUGGGGCGAUUUCACCAUGCGAUCGACUAUGCAGGGGUCAAAUAA
rnacentral:rRNA from 1 species